ACAAGCAAGUCCAGUCUCGGCACUGGAAAAAAAGAAAAAGACGCCUGUUUCUUUCUUUUUUUCCAGUGCCGAGAUUGGACUCGCUUGU
rnacentral:pre_miRNA from 1 species